rnacentral:lncRNA from 1 species
CUUGACGUUCCCUGCGUGCUCUCAGUCGACCUGGUUAGCAUAGGCCUCUGGGCUUGGGUCUCCUAUAAGCCGAAUAAUAACCGGUGGGGGCGGGAAACAAGAUACGAUGGUCUUUGAGCUUACACUUAGGUGUCCAAAAGGCAGAGCUGCCCCCUACCGUAACCAGAUCCGCACCGCUGUCCCCAGUCCUGGAAGGCAGUCACAAGCCGCCCGUCCAACACCUGGACGGCGACGGGCUUUAUUCCAGCCGCCACCGACAGAACCGACCCACCAGCAGCUAUCUUCCCGCCGAUUGUCUUGUUUCCCGCGCCCCUGACUACAACCUAUACCUUGCGCAUCGCUUCAUUGCGGCUAACCAGGGCGUCCACCAGCUGAGUCACUUGCUCUGCCUCCGUUGCCGGGUGUUUAAACCGGCAGGGCUGCCCCGUCUGUGCCCGGGCACAGCGCCCGUUCCACGCGUGGGUAAUGCAGAGUUUGCUUCCAUCCACGUUGCCGCGGUACGCAAUCUCCGAGAUUGACCCAGAGCCCACACCCUGGAAUCCCCGCCGGUCUAGCUCCUGAUUAACCGCUGCCACCACGCUAGCAGGUGGGCCCAGGCGCUGCACUCCGCGGCCCCCGGCGUGAGGCGCUCCCAGCCCCGCGUCCCGAGGGGGGGCCUGAAAGCCCCCACCCACUUGUCCCCAACCAGCGGUCCUCUGCUCUGGGCGGCNNN